ensembl:lncRNA
AAGGGGUACGUACGUCCUUGUUGUUGUCAGAACAUGCAAGCACAGUGAGGCGUUUGGUUAGAGUGUGUGUGUGUUCAAGAAACUUUGAAGAACAAAAUAAUGAAGAGGCAAAAGCCAUCCGGGGCGCAAUUUAAGAAAGAAAAGAAAGGAAGAAGAAAAGAAACGUGCCAAGGAGAAAGCUUUAUGUCACACCAACACGGUGCAGUAGGUCUCCACCUUGAGCCUCGACAUCCGCAUUAGCACAGGGUUGGCACGGAUCAGCCUGUGGACUUUCUGAUUCAUCCUCUUCCAUAGAAUACACUUGAGUUUAUUUGAUUGGUUCCAUGUGAGGUUUUUACACUCACCUCUUGCUUUUAAGGGGUGAGUUCACUCGCCUUGUUGCUGCACCAGAAGCUCUUGAGGAGAUGCGUGACUCCUUUGAACACUACUUGAGCUCAUAGUCACUCCACCCAUGUAGUACACAGAGCUGGGGAGUAAUGGAUAAGCAGUAGGACUCCUGGGUUUAGCCCAGAAAGUACACACAUUGGGUGCUGCCAUCUUCACAGUAUCCUGUUCCAGGUAGAAAACUAAGAAGUACAGGCCAUGUACGGUAUCUAGACUGGUCUAUGCAAUAAAUAUUAGACACCAAGAUCAGAUUUAUUUCAAUUUGUUAUUGGCUAAGUGGUACUAAACACACAACAGAUUCGAAAAUAAUAGAUCUAAAUGUAUGAUUAAUUAAAAAAGAAAUCACUUAUUGCCAGCAUAUUGACAUCUCAGCAUUUGAGCCUGGAUGAAACUGACUAUGGAUUAAUCCCAGCUGAGAAAGAUAUUUGCACUGAAGUAUCUUUGCAUUGUCUGAACAAACUCCAUUCUGCAAUAUACAUAUAGAUGGGAAAAAAAAUAUGUGGGGAAGAAUGACCUUUGCCAAUACAAAAGUUAGUUCCUCAUUUUUGGCCCGCUCACAUUGCUUUGCAGCAGAAGUGCUCACAGUGUUCAAGAGACCUGUUGAUGGUGGAAGAUGAGACUUCUACUCACCCUGCUUUUCUGUCUUAAAUAUGGUAAGACUCCUGUUCAAUGCCUCCCUGGAAUAAUAAGUGCAUUGGCUGAGGUUGAUACUCACUGUUUUUCAGGUGUUUACCCAGCGAGAGGGCAACAGAGGACCGAUGUGUUUGGGCAAGUGCUCCUGCAAAUGUAUUUCAAUCCGUUCUAUAAUCCGUUUGAAAAAGCCUGCUGUAAGUCUGACACGAGUGGAUGCAGCGUGUUUUUGAAUAACAGAGGAUAUGUCAACAAUUUCUAUAAUGGAAGAAUAUCCCUGAAAGAGUUUAACGGUGGGAUGGAAGUGAGGAUAUGGAAUUUACAGAGAGGUGAUGCCGGUUACUAUAGAUGCACUGUUCUUGGAAGGACAACCACCCUCAUCUACAAAGACACUUAUGUUGAGAUUGUUGACACAGUGGCCCGCCUAAGCCCUCUCCCGCCUUCUCCCCAACCCUCCAACCAGCUGACAACUGUCACAGCCCUGCCCACCUCUGCUGCACACACUUCAGCUGGUCUCUCUGAUAUUCACGAAAAGCCUCGGUAGUCUGUCAUAUCACAUAUAAAUACAACAAUGCAAUUUGUCUCAUGAGAAGAAAGCCAACCUCAUUUCAUACGACAAAAUGUUAUUUCACUCAGUGUUAAAUGCCAGCAAAGAUUGAAUUUUGGAUUGGAGUUUAGGAAAUUUUUUUUGUGAUUUGCAAUCGUAGUGAAGUGAGAGCAUGGCCCUACAUGCAAAUACUAAUUUCUGUGUCAUUUCAUUUCUUAAGACUCACAUGGAAGGUGUUGUUGUUAGUGGGAGCAGGAUUCAGUGUGAUCCUGGGGAUUCUCAUCUCAGCAGUAGUAAUGGCCGUGCUUCACCACAGAAAGAGGGUGAAAGACAAAUAUAGAGGAAAGCCAGCUGACUCCACAGAUGGCGUCCUGUCUGUAAGUAACUAUAUUUGAAUCUUUCCUGUCUGACUCAGGGUCAAGUGUCUUGUAUGGAGCAAUCAUAAAUAAUACAGACUACAGAUUCUCCUUUUGUUUCAAUAGUUAAAUCUUAAGUCAGCCUUCCCUUUUUUGUUCAGCACCACUGUUAACUUAAUAUAUAUAUAUAUAUAAAGACUGGAAGAGACAAUGCAGGAUGACGGUCCUGCAAUUCUUCAAUGCUUCUGAAUGAAGCUAAUACGUUUGUAUUAAGAUUGCUUUCUACCCUCACAUUCACACUUUAAAGCACACCAGCGAAGAAGUGGCCCCUAUCAUCUACACUGUGGUUGACUUCAAGCCUCAUGAAGAAAUCAGUGAGCUCUAUGCAAACGUAUGUAUGCACAGCCCAAGAACAACCAGGGCCAAAUCACCACUGGAGGACCUGGACACUGUUGAGUAUUCCACUGUUGCCAUAAGUCUUUGACAGACUCUUUGAUUUCGCUAGAUGUAGUUAGAUGCUGACUAUCGUUACGAACAUGGACUUCCUUUCAGGUGUUAAUUAUCGGACGGCGUGUGUUAUCGGCAAACGUUCGCGUUGUCAUGUGAAUCCAUUAUUAAACUGAAGUUAUUGAUUGUUA